rnacentral:rRNA from 1 species
AGGUACUGCUGCAUCCUAAGUCCAGAAAUGAGUACGGUGGUACGGACGCGGCCCACAGAGGGUGAAAGGCCCGUGGGGGUGGAGGUCAGACAUGUCGGUAUCUCUUUGGAUAGACCCUUGAGUCGGGUUGUUUGUGAAUGCAACCCAAAGUGGGUGGUAAACUCCAUCCAAGGCUAAAUACUAACACGAGUCCGAUAGCAAACAAGUACCGUGAGGGAAAGUUGAAAAGUACUCUGAAGAGAGAGUAAACAGUACGUGAAGCCGCUCAGAGGUAAACGGGUGGAGUUGAACUGCGAACAUUGAGAAUUACCAUCAGUGAGUAUGGUUUGAACUUGGUCUUGAUGAUUGAGCUCGGAAGUCUGUGUAGUGACAGGCCGCUACCUUUUGGUGGUGGUGCGCGAUGCACUUAUCAAGUGUUGUGCGCUUUCGAUGCUUUGGAUCGACUUGCUGGUGCAUUUCUCAGUGUGUUCACCACGACCGGCGCUGCUGCCUGGCUGCUAUGGUCAAACCGAUCACGUGUUUGCUCUCGUGGCUUACUGUGGUUGGGAUGGCAGGUGACUCGUCAUCUGGAUGCCUGUGGCUUGCUGCGGGUAUCGGGUCUCGGGUGUAACUAGCUGUCCAUAGUGGUUCUGUGCAGUGUGUCGGAGACGGCGGCUUGUGGUGUGUGUAUACGUGCCAGUUCGGUUGGCUCAUCCGAGUCGGAUUGUCUUGUUGCCUGUUCUGUCAGGCCUAAUAAUGGCUCGGGUUUGUUCGGCUGACGGUUGCGUGUAUGAUACCUUAAAGGGCCAAUAGUCUGUGGUGUGGCGGUAGACUAUCCACCUGACCCGUCUUGAAACACGGACCAAGGAGUGUAACAUGUACGCGAGUCAUUGGGCACUACGAAACCCAAAGGCGCAGUGAAAGUGAAGGUCUGAUUUCGGUCAGAUUGUGGUGAGAUCCUGCCGUUGCUCACACCUGAUACCACCAAGCAGCGAGCGGUAGGCGCAUCACCGGCCCGUCCCAUGACAGCUAUCUUCGGAUGGUUAUCAGUCGGGGUGGAGCAUGAGCGUACACGUUGUGACCCGAAAGAUGGUGAACUAUGCUUGUGCAGGUUGAAGCCAGAGGAAACUCUGGUGGAGGACCGCAACGAUUCUGACGUGCAAAUCGAUCGCCAGACAUGAGUAUAGGGGCGAAAGACUAAUCGAACCAUCUAGUAGCUGGUUCCCUCCGAAGUUUC